rnacentral:rRNA from 1 species
UACGGAGGGUGCAAGCGUUAUCCGGAUUUACUGGGUUUAAAGGGUGCGUAGGCGGGCAGGUAAGUCAGGGGGUGAAAUCUUCGAGCUUAACUCGGAAACUGCCUUUGAUACUAUCUGUCUUGAAUAUUGUGGAGGUAAGCGGAAUAUGUCAUGUAGCGGUGAAAUGCUUAGAUAUGACAUAGAACACCUAUUGCGAAGGCAGCUUACUAAGCAAACAUUGACGCUGAGGCACGAAAGCGUGGGGAUCAAACAGG